UAGGGAAUCUUCCGCAAUGGACGAAAGUCUGACUGAGCAACGCCGCGUGAGUGAAGAAGGUUUUCGGAUCGUAAAACUCUGUUGUUAGAGAAGAACAAGGACGUCAGUAACUGAACGUCCCCUGACGGUAUCUAACCAGAAAGCCACCGCUAACUACCUGCCAGCAGCCGCGGUAAUCCGAAGGGGGCAAGCGUUGUCCGGAGUUAUUGGGCGUAAAGCGAGCGCAGGCGGUUUCUUAAGUCUGAUGUGAAAGGCCCCGGCUCAAGGGGGGGGGGUGAUUGGAGGCUGGGAGACGUGAGUGCAGAAGAGGAGGGUGGAAGUCCAUGUGGAGCGGUGAAAUGCGUAGAUAUAUGGAGGAACGCAAGUGGCGAGGGCGGCUCUCUGGUCUGUAACUGACGGUGAGGAAAGAAAGCGUGGGGAGCAAACAGG
rnacentral:rRNA from 1 species